CACGGAGUUAGCCGGUGCUUAUUCAUAUAGUACCGUCAUUAUCUUCCUAUAUAAAAGGAGUUUACACACCGAAAUGCGUCAUCCUCCACGCGGCGUUGCUGCAUCAGAGUUUCCUCCAUUGUGCAAUAUUCCC
rnacentral:rRNA from 1 species